ACUCCUACGGGAGGCAGCAGUGGGGAAUUUUGGACAAUGGGCGCAAGCCUGAUCCAGCAAUGCCGCGUGCAGGAAGAAGGCCUUCGGGUUGUAAACUGCUUUUGUACGGAGCGAAAAAGCCUCCUCUAAUACGGGAGGCUGAUGACGGUACCGUAAGAAUAAGCACCGGCUAACUACGUGCCAGCAGCCGCGGUAAUAC
rnacentral:rRNA from 1 species